AAUUUUUUACUUAUUAUUAAAAAAAGGCUGGUCUUUUAUUUUUAAUCGUGGGCUGUACAGCAGUGUAUGCAUGGUCUUACCGUUACUGGUCCGUCAUUACUCACAUCAUCAAAUCCCAAAAACACCUCCCUCACCUCACAGGACACCUCACUUCAGGCCACAGAACACAAAAUGAAAACAAAUAUGGCUGCAUUAAUCUCCUUUUUUAUAUAAUUUCUAAUCUCUGCAUUUAUAAACUUUAUUACACGCACACUCACAGCCGCGUUGGUAUAAAAUGCUCCGGGAGGUUUAGUAAAACAUUUAACAUUUAGUAAACAUUAAGAUUCACACUCAGAGUUGCGCAAUACCUUCAGUGUUUGUUAUUAAACACUCAGAGUCAAAGUACAGUUCAGAAUCACAGUCCACAUCGUUCUUCAACAACUUCAUCACCUAAAACCAGGACAUAAUGAUGCUCCGGCAGUUUAUUCCUCCUAAAAAACAUAGAGGCUUUAGGAGGCGAUUGUUCACUCCUCGUCACAGGAACAUGCUAAAUCAUGCCGUUGGUCACGAUGAGCCACCGAAACAGAAGAGCGAGAGCCGAGAAGAGUCCAUCCUGGCGUUCCUUGGGAUCGCUUGCACCGUCCUGAAUCUCCUCGUCAUCAUAUUCGUCUACAUCUACACCUCCCUGUGAGUGAGGGAUUCUCUCAGCUUACGCUGAUAGUCUGGAGACAGCCUGGACUUUAGAUUGAGUCGAAAGUUAAUGUGUGAGAUGUUAUGUAUAAACUCUGAUUUGCAUUUUAGAUUGGGAUUUUUGUAGAUUUUAACAAAAAAUUAUACUGCUAAAAAAACAACAACUAUUAAAUAUAUAAAAGUCUUUUAGAUUUUUCUAGCGCUUGACAGACAUGCUAAUAAUCAUCUGUAUAUUAUUAGAAAUCUGUUCUUGGGUGAGAAUCACAUGAAACCCGCAUCAUCACAGCGAGAGAGGAAUACAUUUACAAACUGUUCUUCCUGUAAGUGAUUAAAAGAGAACAAAUGAUAUAACAUCUAUACUAUAUACCAAUACACUGUUUGAUCUAAUUUAAUGUCAGCUAAGUGCGAAAUGACUAAAUGUAAAAGUUAAAAUGAUAAUAAUUUUCUUGUAAAACAAGGAAAUUGUUUAUUUACAAUAAAAUAUUACCUGCACUUUCUCUCCCCAAUCACCCAUUUUUUUACAUUAUGAUUGUGAUAAAUCAUCAUAAUAAUUAAUGAAAUUUUAAUAAUAAUUCAUGGGUUUUUCACCUUCAUAAUUUCACUUAUGUACUUUUUUAAUUGUAAAUCUGUUACGUACAGACUCCAACAGGAAGCAAGUGCAGGUGCAAGUAUUUAUUUAAAACUAAAGUCAGUGUACAAGAAACAGGAAACGAGGUCCAAACAUUCAACUAGAACAGGACCUGGAAACACUAUCACAUGGCACACUUGCCUAGAACCGAGGCAUGAAACCAGAGCAGGGCAUGGACACACUACCGCGUGGCACCAUUACACGUUUAACUCCUUUAAACCUUCAAUACUGCGCCAAGUGCGAGGUAACGUGAGGGGUUUAAAUAACUAAUGUCAUUUACCUUAAACGCUGACAGCUGGUAACAACCGAGACGCGCCCUCGAAUAUCCACCAAUAACUAAACAAGGCGGAGACAAAACAGAAGCAAACGCCCAUGGCCAUUGUAAACAAAGUCUCCAUGGUUCCUAUGUAACCCGCGAGCAUGUGCUCGCUCUGGUUCGUACACGCACGCGCCCUCCGGCUUUCCGUGAACAUCGCCGCCACAGCGCCAUCUGCCAGCGAGAUCGUGACAAAAUCCAAUAUUGUAAUAAUGUACUUUUUGUGACAGGAUUUGGUGUAUUACAGGUUACAAAUACUAAGUAUAGUCAAAAAAAUUCAUUUAACAUCAUUUAAAUAAAUAAAAUAUUGUAUAAAAUGUUUUAUGUGUUUUAGGCAAACUGUACCUUUUGUAUCUAUACUUUUACAAAAAAAAAAAAAAAAAACCCUGUAUUUUUUAUAUUGUGUGACAAAUCUUCAUCGUUUCUUUCAGUUUUAAAUAAUAAUGUAAUCAUGUUUGUUUUUUCCUCGAAUUAGAGACCGAACCGGUCCUGUAACAAACAGCAAACAUUGGAACUGGAAAUGUUUAUAUAUAUAUAUAUAUAUACAUGUUUGCUGCUUGUUACAGGACCGGUUCGGUCUCUAAUUCGAGGAAAAAACAAACAUGAUUACAUUAUUAUUUAAAACUGAAAGAAACGAUGAAGAUUUGUCACACAGAUAAACUACUAAUAGAAUAAUGAUAAAGAGAUAUAAAUGUACUUGCGUGUAUACUGUAUGUAGCGUCUUAUACAGAGUCACACUGUAUGAUAUUUGGUUGAGGACACACACAAUCACACACACACACACACACACACACACACACACAGAGAGGUGUUAAUGAAACACUGUCUUAGUUAAUUGAAAGCUCUGCAUGAAUAAACACAAACUCCUAAUGCUCAA